rnacentral:rRNA from 1 species
CCUACGGGAGGCAGCAGUGGGGAAUAUUGGACAAUGGGGGCAACCCUGAUCCAGCCAUGCCGCGUGUGUGAAGAAGGCCCUCGGGUUGUAAAGCACUUUCAGUGAGGAAGAACGCCUGGUGGUUAAUACCCAUCAGGAAAGACAUCACUCACAGAAGAAGCACCGGCUAACUCCGUGCCAGCAGCCGCGGUAAUACGGAGGGUGCGAGCGUUAAUCGGAAUUACUGGGCGUAAAGCGCGCGUAGGUGGCUUGAUAAGCCGGUUGUGAAAGCCCCGGGCUCAACCUGGGAACGGCAUCCGGAACUGUCAAGCUAGAGUGCAGGAGAGGAAGGUAGAAUUCCCGGUGUAGCGGUGAAAUGCGUAGAGAUCGGGAGGAAUACCAGUGGCGAAGGCGGCCUUCUGGACUGACACUGACACUGAGGUGCGAAAGCGUGGGUAGCAAACAGGAUAGAUACCCUUGUAGUC